AUGGAUCGUUCGCCUGCCAAGUUCGUCUUGCUCCUCAUGGCAGCGGCGACCUGGAGCUUCUUCCUCGUCGCCGGCGCAGGCAAGCUCCAGCCGAGCUGCAUAGGGCGCGAGAGGGACGCCUUGCUAGUCUUCAAGCAAGGCAUCAAUGAUACCUACGACUACCUCGGGUCGUGGCAACAAGAGCGCCAAGAUUGCUGCCAAUGGGCAGGCAUCACCUGCAGCAACACAACCGGGCAUGUCAUCCAGCUUGACCUUGGCGGAAGGUACUAUUUGGUCGGCCAGAUAAGUCCUUCCUUGCUUUCUCUAGAGCAUCUCGAAUACCUUGAUCUCCACCACACUGGGUUGCGUGGCCCUGAUGGCCGUGUUCCAGAGUUCUUGGGUUUCUUAAAGAACCUGAGGCAUCUUGAUCUGUCUUACACGUCUUCCUCCGGUAUGGUGCCUCCUCAGCUAGGCAACCUGUCAGAGCUGGAAUACCUUGAUUUAUCCUACAUAUAUUUCAACAAUAUGAGUAUGGUCUCAACGGACAUCUCAUGGAUGGUCUCAACAGACAUCUCAUGGUUAACCCAUCUACCUCUGUUGGAGCAUCUUGAUAUGAGUUAUAUCAAUCUCAGCUCAAUAGCCGAUUGGCCUUUAGUUGUCAAUAAGAUUCCAUCUUUGGAGUUGCUCUAUCUUUCUGAGUGCUCGCUUUCAAGUGCAAACCAAUCCCUCACACACCUGAACCUCACAAAUCUUCAGUACCUUGAUCUCUCUGGUAACGACUUUGGCCAUCCAAUUGCCUCCGGUUGGUUUUGGAACUUAACAAGCCUCAAGUACCUCGGUCUUGCUAGUACCUCUCUGUAUGGUCCAUUUCCUGAUGCACUCGCAAAUAUGUCAUCCCUCCAACGGUUAGAAUCGAGCUACAUGGGUAACAAAGCCACAAUGACAGUAGAUUUGAAAAAUCUGUGUGAUUUGGAAUACCUAUCGAUUGGUGGAAGCCUCUCCUCUGGAAAGAUAACAGAGUUUCUAGAUAAAUUGCCUAGAUGUUCAUCGAACAGAUUACGGUACUUGAGCUUGAGCAGCAACAAUAUGGUUGGAAUUCUGCCAAACAGAAUGGGGCACUUGACCGACUUAUUUGUGUUCGACCUUUCUUCCAAUAACAUUACUGGGGGUAUACCGCUAGGCAUAAGGAAUCUCUCUUAUUUAGUAAGACUUGAUCUUUCUAACAACCUUCUUACUGGAGUUAUACCGCCCGGGUUGGGAAAUUACACUAGCUUACAGUAUCUUUCUCUUUCAAGCAACCAUCUUACUGGACCUAUGCUACCAGGGAUGGCGAGUUGCACUGCAUUAUGCUCUCUUGACCUUUCUGACAACAAUAUUACUGGAGUUAUACCUCCAUGGUUGGGGAACUGCACUAGUUUGUGGUACCUUUAUCUUUCUAAGAACCUUCUCACUGGACACGUCCCAUCUAAGAUCAGUCUGCUCGGUCAGUUGACCGAACUCGACCUUAGCAAUAAUAAUCUAGAUGGUAUGAUCACGGAGGAGCACCUAGUUACUCUAAAUAACUUAAAACACCUGGAUUUAUCACACAACUCUUUGUCAGGGCCUCUGCCGUUAGAGUUUGUAGCUAAAGGAUUAGUAGAAUUGACUUUAUCCUCCAAUUCUUUCACUGGGCAUAUUCCUGAUUCUAUUUGUAAAUUGAGGAACCUACUUGUCUUGGAUUUAUCAGGCAACCUUCUAGAUGGAGAACUUCCUCAGUGUUCUCAGAAGCCUAACUUGGUUUUCCUCCUCUUAAGCCAUAAUAAGUUUUCUGGAAAGUUCCCAUCAUCACUUAAGAACUACUCGAGUUUGGCAUUCGUGGAUCUUUCAGUGAAUAAUUUCUAUGGAACAUUGCCAUCGUGGAUCGGAGACUUGGUAUAUUUGCGGUUUUUGCAGCUAAGUCACAAUUUCUUGUGUGGAGAUAUUCCCGUGACCAUCACAAACCUUAAACACCUUCGUCAACUGAGUCUAGCAGGAAAUAGUAUAUCUGGUGUUAUACCUUGGUCUUUGUCAAAUUUAACAGCAAUGGCCCAGAAACAUUCAAAGAGACAUGAGGUCGACAUGUUUAAAUGGUACAGCGGCCAAGUGGGAAAAUUUAGAGAAGUUUUGCCUAUCGUUAUGAAGCACCAAGAACUUAAGUAUGGUACAAGAAUUUUUGAUGUGGUCAGUAUGGACCUGUCACUCAACCACCUAACAGGGGAAAUUCCAGAUGGAAUUACCUCUCUUAAUGGACUGUUAAAUCUGAACUUCUCAUGGAAUCAAUUGAGUGGAAAAAUUCCUGGGAAGAUUGGAGCUAUGAAAUCACUUGAAUCCCUGGACCUCUCAAGGAACAACCUUUCUAGUGAAAUCCCAACAAGCUUAUCAGGUUUGACUUAUUUAAGCUCCUUGGACUUGUCAUAUAACAAUCUUACAGGAAAAAUUCCACCCGGAAGCCAACUUGACACCCUCUACUUGGAGAACCAGUCCAUAUAUAAGGGCAACAUUGGUCUGUGUGGCCCUCCUCUUGAAAGGAAAUGCUCAAGAGACAAUUCACCAGAGCACAACAAUCAACAGAAAAUUCAGAAGGUUUCCGAGCCUGUGUUGUUCUUUUACUUUGGACUCGGGUCCGGGUUUGUGGCUGGCCUCUGGGUCGUGUUUUGCACCCUAUUGUUCAGGAAAGUGUGGAGAGUCGCCUAUUUCCACCUCUUUGACAAGUCGUAUGACAAGGCAUAUGUGUUUGUGGUUGUUACUUGGGGUAGGAUAACCAGCAAGGCGACAACAAGUUAA
rnacentral:rRNA from 1 species